AAGGGUUUGUUACAGCCAGAGCUAUCUGUGCUGUUACAUUAAAAUAAAGCACAACUAUUGACCAAUCAGAUUUGAUCAUUCAACCAAGUCCUACUAGUAAGCCUAAUUUCUAGCUCAAUAACUUAUUAAACUGACUAUGAUGUGAGAAAUUAAUCCAUAAAGAACUCAAACAUACAAUAUUUUAUGUGGCACAUUGCAUUUCAUUGUUUCUCCACAAACAUAACGCUAAUUCUCUUGACUUCACAGGAUGGCCUCUGUUGAGUAUCAAUCUUGCUGCAGACUUGGCACUAUCAGCAUCUAUUGAUAAAAUGAAUGAAAUAUCUCUUGCCUUCAACCUGUACAGAGCAACCAACAAUGUUGUCAGUCAGGUAAUUGUAAUGGCUGUGUUUGAAUAUAAAUAAUAUUAUGAUAGGAUUGUCAGGCUAACAGUGUCCGGAUUAGGGUGUUGAGGUCUUCUUGGCUAUAACAACUGUCGGGGCCCUACAUAGACACCAUGACAGCUACUCCAACCAGACAAAAAGCAAGGCUAACACAGAACAGUAGCUCUUAUAAUAAAAUUAGUAGAAUGCUAUGCCAAGAGAGUCAAGAGGGCUAGCUCCAUUGCCAGUAAGUGUAUUCCUUCUUGAAUGUCUCAAAUGCCUAUAUACCUUCACCAUAUUUGGGCCAAUGCCAAAUUCUAAUCAGUUCAUCUGGUGGCUGUAAGGACAAGUCCAAACAAAUCCUAUAUUUAUCCCCUUAUUUUUUGCACCAACAAGAAUUGCCCACAGACUGACAGGACAGAUUGGCCCUUGGCAAAAAGUUCCUGAACAUGAAUUUAUAAGUAACAUCGCUGUAUGACAAACAGGAAGGAAACUAUCGAAGAAAAACUAUUACAGUCAUUUGCUAUGAUCUUGAGAAAAUUCUUUGUGUGUGUGUGUGUGUGCACGUGCACAAAUCAGAGAAAAAACUGAAGAGAAAUAGAAACAAUCACAGAAAUUCUAAUGGUUUCCACUACAACUACCAUUACACAUGAUCAGCUAACCGUUAAAACCAUUACCAUUAUUGGUACCUAAUGUUAUCCACUAGACAUAACGUGCCACCACUAGAAGCUAACAAAUUACCAGUAGACAGUACAGUUUCCAUUAAGACCAAAAUAAUUCCCAUUGUAACAAUUAAAACCAUUACAAAUUCUAUGAGGGUUUCUACUGUUUUUGUUAUUUUUUAGGAUUGAAAAUUUAAAUAUUGAUUCAUAGCUUUUGAUUAAUUUUGGCUGCCUUUCACUCUGAUUACACUAGUGUAUGAGUCUGGCCAAAUGUAUUAAAACUUAAUUUGUUGCUUGACAUCAAAUGUAAACUUCUUAUAAGCUGUCUGUCGUAUAGGGCAGUGCUGCCCUCAGGUGGUGUGCUGGAGUAAUGCAUCUCUCUUUUCAACACCACAGGUUCCAAACCCUGGUUCUGGAGUCCUAUGCCCUGCACAUUUGAGUGUUUUCCUCUGCUUAAAAACCUGAUUCAACUAAUUAACAGCCCUUCUUGAGUUGAAAUGGACGUGUUGGAGCAGGGAAAACACUAAAAUGGAAGGACAGGGUGUACUCCAGGAUAUGUGUUUUUAAGCUAAAGCUGAUGUUUGUGUUACAUUGUGUUAGUCCCAAUAUGCUGCUUCAUCAUAAUGACAAAAUCUGUUAAAUGGUUUAUUUUAAAUGAUUCCCCCCCCAGAUUAAGCUAGUGGAUUUCAAUACGUACGACCUCACCCUUAACUUUGCCAUAAGGAAGACGUUGUGUCUUAAACCUCUGACAGUAUCCCUAGGCAGAUGUUGGUUCAAGUGGGACAUGUCCAAGCCUGAGCACAUGUGUAGUAGUUAUGUCCGUGUUUCUGGUGGGUUAAUUUCUCUGAGGGGGAUGAGCUGCAGUGUGCAUGCAGUAAGCUCCAGCAGCGAGGAGAUAUUCUUGCGGUGAGAGCCGCAGACUGAACAGAGCAACAUUUGUCCUGGAGCUUGCAGCUGCUAUGGACUGCUGCUGUGAUCAGAUGGGUCUCUGAAAUUAAAGUGAGAAACUCAACAAGCAGCAGCAAAAUUCAACACCCUACUGUAAAUGUUUUGGGCCAUGUUUCAUUUAGAUCUUGAUGGACGUUGUGUUGUAGAGCAUUCUUUUUUUAAAGCACAUAUAUCGCCUUAAAACUUGCUCCAGUAUGCUUUAGGACCUAUAUCCUUAGGGGAAAAUAAAGAAGACAAAGAAAUAUACUUUAUUGCAACAAGACAUUUAGUGAGUUAGGUUUCAACUAUGUUGCAACAAAUGGUCAAAUCAUGUAGUUUAAAAUAUUAAUAGGAAAAAUGAAAAUAAUGUCGGCUCCUAAGGUUGGAUCUCCCUCUCUGAGUAAUUUGUAUAUCCACCCUUUACUUUUAUAAGUGCCUCCAAGUGCUUUGUGUCUUCGUUUUUCACCCAGAAACCAGUAACUACACUGAUGUUUGUAUUUCUUUGUCAUGUAUGGUCAUGUUUGUGGAGUCAGACUUACUAAAAAACUGUUAUUUUAGCAAAUGAAAAUAUAAAAUUGCCACAGAUAUAUGGUGGUGUUAACCACUUAAGAUGUGGAUUAUCACAAGUACCAAAAGAACAGACACAUUGAAGAAAACAGCACUGGCACACCUUACUGCAUGAUUUACAUAUUUAUAUUGUUCAGUUUAAAUGUAACAUUUACUUCCCCAUGUAAUUUAUCUUGAGCACUCCUGACUUUAACAACCUUCAUUAGCAAUGUGCACUCAUGGCUUCAAUAGUUCAGCCAUUUUCCUCUUCAUUUAGGCAGCCAAACACAAAAAAAGGAUAUCGAUUACGCCAAUGAAUUGCUGUUGUAACAUUAUAACAUCAUGAGAUCAAAUUUAGGCACAAAAAAUUCUUACUCUGUUCCAAAUUUUCCGCUCAACUCAAAUAAUAAACGAAAUCAGUAAAACGUGAUAUGAAGUGUAGUGAGAGACAAUUUCUUCCUGAUAGCCACAAAUCUAACAGCAGAUGUUAAAGUCAGGAAGAGCUGCAGUAUGUACAGAUAGGCAUCAAUGUAACCAACAGAAACAGAAACAGAACACAUCCAACUCCAAACACAGCCAGG